UACAGAGGGGGCAAGCGUUGUUCGGAAUUACUGGGCGUAAAGGGCGCGUAGGCGGCCUGCUAAGUCGAACGUGAAAUCCCCGGGCUCAACCCGGGAACUGCGUCCGAUACUGGCAGGCUUGAAUCCGGGAGAGGGAUGCGGAAUUCCAGGUGUAGCGGUGAAAUGCGUAGAUAUCUGGAGGAACACCGGUGGCGAAGGCGGCAUCCUGGACCAACACUGACGCUGAGGAGCGAAAGCCAGGGGAGCAAACGGG
rnacentral:rRNA from 1 species